GCAAGGAUUAAUUCUUUAUUAAAAAUGAAAACACACAAGAAUAGAAAAAUGCUGUUUAAAAGCAAGAAGUCUUUUGUAUAACAAAUUGAGAACAAAUCAUUCAAUGAAACAAGAAAAGUCCCCCAGUUUAAUAUUUAUUAGAGAAGCAUUUCUAGGGCAUGAGCUUACCACUCCAAAGGCAGACAUCUGAGACAGGUGAGCAAACUGCUGCCUAACAAUGCCCGUGUCUCUCCAGUGCCUCUCCAGUCUAGCCAUAAUUCAGAUGGAGGCACCUAUUUUGUGGAUAUAAAGAUGGGACAGAUGAAACUCAGCCCUAAUCUUCACCUGAACUGCCUCAAACACAGUCUAGUUUCUGCAGGAAUUGCUUCACAUUAGACCCAUGACAGAAGGGGAGCAAAAGCUCUCCCUUGUUCCUUUGGCUGCCUUCUUCUAGCUUUAAAAAAAACAUUCAGUGAGACCUGCCGCAGGAAGGGGCAGAGCUAUCCCAUCCUAGCCCUCCCCUCCGGUGUUAAAAGCAGUGGAAAAAGAGGUGUUUUUCUUCUCUAUAAAUACAGGCUCACUCUACUUUGCUUCUUCUCUGCUUUUGCCUUAACCAAAAUGGUAUUUCUCCUUGAUUUUCUUUCUACUUUGAUAUAACCAGAAUGAGCCAGAUGUUUCAAAAUCAGAAGAGAAUUUCAAAGCACUGUUUGAUCUUUACUAAAAUAUAUGUUCUGAAAUUCAAGGAUCAAUUUAAUUACGUCUUUUUGUCAGGCUUGUUGUUUCUUUUCUGUAGUUUCUUGAGAAAAUAGGGCUACUUCUUGCACUGCCAGUCCCCCAUUACUCACUCAGGAACGAACUAGCUCAUUAAAAAAUGUGACAUAGAGGAAUCAAAAUUGAGAAUGUUUCUAUAGCUGAGUACAGCAGGGAGCUCUUGCUGUCACUCUAGAGAAGGAUCAGCAGGCAGAGGCUGGUCCUCAUCCAUUGUUUGGCAGCUUUUGUAUUGUCUUGUCCAGGGAACAGGUCAAAAUAUUUGGUUAGGGACACCUAACCAAAUCUGAGUCUGCUGGGAAGGUGGGAGGGAUGUGAAGAUGGCUUAGGGGAAGAGGGAAUGCCAACAAGCCUCAUUUCUUUCAGCAGUAGCCUGAAACUAAUAACUGACAACAGAAGGUGCUACUUUUAUAAUAAAUAUUAAUGGCAAUAUUAGCAACAGUGAAUUAGCUGUGUUCUUUUGACAUCUUGGCUUAGGCUGUAAGGAAGCAGUUAUGUACACAGCUGAAGCAAGGACUGCCCAGAGCCAGCUGUGCAGCUGGGUAACUUGAACACAGACUGAAAGCUGCUGACUGAAAAUGAAAGGGAGAACAUUGGCAGUGACAAAGCAUGUGGGAAACAGGCCCAGGACAGAGUGGGGAGCAGGAUUUUUUUAGUCUGGAAGCAGAAUGGGAUGUGAUAACAUGGUUUCAGUGGAUGAGAAGCUGUUGUUAAGGAUGGCAGCAACUGCUCUGCUAGAAGAACAAAUACAGGAUCUAAUCAGUUUAUUUUUCAGAGCAGAAAAAAAAAGGGGGAACAAAAAGAAGCUUCUGUAUUUCAAAAAUUUUCUCUGAGUAAACAUGGCCCAGAAAUGGGCAGGUUGUGAAAGUUGCUUCACUGGAAGCUAGAAGCUACGUAAAGUCACACCAUAGACAGCAAACAAGAAAUUGUCUUGCAGUUCCUGAUCAUGUAAAACCUAGCAACGUCUUCCAGCUCUAUUGUGUUGUUACCCAUUACACCUCUGUCCUGCUAGUGGCCUUUCUCCUAUUACCUCCCACCCAGCAACCUUCAGUGUCCUGCAGAGAAGCACUGGUCCUGUCUGGGUUCUCUGGGGCACUCUUAUUCCCUCUGAAAUUUCAUAGCAAGAUUGCACAGGCAUCUCUCUGCUAUCUGAGAUUAUGGUGGCAUAGGAGACCUCAAAUACUGGAAAAAAACAAACAGACAGAUCACAUGGUUCUUUUGGGCCACACUGUAGAGCAGAAUAUUCUCAACAUAUAGGCUGUACUGAGGCAUGCAGACCUUCCCCAUACAUCCGAGUCCGUUAAGUCCGUUACUGUAUUUCAAUUCCAAUACCAAAAGAGACAGAAAGGUGUAAUGGAGGUGUUCUUGAGAUGCUACAUCAGUAUGUAAUAUUAAGCAUAUAACCAGGUGCUGAGUACAGUCUGGCUUCUCACCACCACAGUCAGUAACUCCAAUAAACUUGGCCAUCCUACCAGCUACUGCUAGUGGCACAUUUGAUUAGGGCAAUAUCCUCCCUGAGCAGCUUGCUGGCAGUCCCUUGCCAAUAAUAGAUGUUCCUCUGUCCAUACUAUACAGAGAAAUACAAACUACCAUAACAUUACCAAACCUCUGCUAGGUAAUGUAUGGGAACUGUUGAGUCACGGACUGAACCACCGAUUGAUCACCUGCAGAAGGGACCAGGUCAGCCCUGGGAGAACAGGUGAAGGCAAUUCACCUGUGUGACCGGAAGGGGUGAAGCCUGGCUAGAGAAAUCAAUUCUGGACCAUGUGUAUUUUGGGUUGUUGCACAAAUCUUUGGACUGUUCUCUACACAGUUGAUGCUUCUUCCCACUCUGUUUUUACAAGCAACUAGCAGCUGGUAGUGGGCUAGAGCUCCAACCUCGCUCCAGUAGCUACUAAGAAAUGUCACCUCUGUCAUCCAGAAAAGGAUGAUUAAUUGCCUAAGAAGGGCUUAACCUUUACCCUUCUCCAGUGGCUCUAGGCCCCGUGGUAGCUAAAGAGAUUUUCCCAGGAGCAGUCACAGCUGCAGCUUUUGCAGUGCAAUCCAGACAGGUGUCACUGUUCAUACCAGGGCUUCAGGAGGGUUUUUGCUUUACAUGUGUGAUUUCUGGCUUCCUUUUCCUAUUCUGAUUUUUCUUGCAUUGAAGCUAGGAAUGGCCAGCCACCAGUACCAAAAGCAGGCAAAAUGGAAUCAUCCGUUACUUUGCUGAGGAUGCAAAUAUUGCCAGCUGAGCAGAAAGCAUGGCAAGCCUGUGUGAACUGUUCAUAGCAGCAGGUAGAAAAAAAAAUAGUGAAAGAAGAAAGUAGAAUCAGCAACACAUCUCCUACUUUGAUUUCAUACAGAAUUAUAGAAUUGUUAGAGUUGGAAAGGACCCUUUUAGAUCUGGCUCUUCGAUUAACAGCUCCUGCCCAGCUGAGCGAACCACAACCUCUCCUACCUCACAGAUGUGCCCUCAGGAUUAGUAAGCCAGUGCCCACUCAGUGCAAUCAACAUGCAAAGCUCUGUUUUAAACUCUGUAACAGACUGCAACUAUAGGUAAAGUCUUAUUUAAGCCAUCCCUUCACCAACAGAAAAAGUAUUAACUGUUCAUUCAGAUCCCUCACUUUGUCUAUAGCCUCCAAAUUCUUCAUGAUAUAAAAGGUGUUCCUAAGGUAUUUUAUUUUUGUAUUGUAGAUGCUUAGCACAAACAACAGAUAUGUUUUUCAUACAAUGUGGUGUUCAUAAUUGUUUCAACACAUUCCGGAUCAUUUUUACUCUUGUAUCAUGCUUACAUUCUAGUGAUCUUACUGUCCAGUUGAUGAAAGUACAUGCCCCAUAACUUCACAGAAGUCAGCAGCCUAUUUUUCACUCUGUCCACAUUCAGAAAAGCCCCCUUUUGCAACUCCAACAAUUUUAUGAGCUCAAGACAUACAGAUAUUUCAGCAUCAGAUAUUUCCUGGCAUCUCUAGGCACAAAACAAGCAUCUCCACCAAACCAUUCUUGAAAACCAACUCCUCACAAAUAAACUUGAACUUAGGUGUAUAGGUCAGGUCUCUCCUAUGCAAUUUCUUCUUAAAUCUCUUGUUUGAGACAAAGGAAGUUUGGGAUUACUUUUUAAAUGUCUUCUGCUGCAGGAGCCAUCCCCCCUGCCCUGGGCGACAGCAGACUAUCUCUGUGCUUCCCCCGGGGCUGCAGGUAUGUCAUCAGCACC
ensembl:lncRNA